GAUGAACGCUGGCGGCGUGCUUAACACAUGCAAGUCGAACGAUGAAGCCCAGCUUGCUGGGUGGAUUAGUGGCGAACGGGUGAGUAACACGUGAGUAACCUGCCCUUGACUCUGGGUUAAGCCUGGGAAACUGGGUCUAAUACUGGAUAUGACUUCUCAUCGCAUGGUGGGGGGUGGAAAGAUUUAUUGGUCUUGGAUGGACUCGCGGCCUAUCAGCUUGUUGGUGAGGUAAUGGCUCACCAAGGCGACGACGGGUAGCCGGCCUGAGAGGGUGACCGGCCACACUGGGACUGAGACACGGCCCAGACUCCUACGGGAGGCAGCAGUGGGGAAUAUUGCACAAUGGGCGCAAGCCUGAUGCAGCGACGCCGCGUGAGGGAUGACGGCCUUCGGGUUGUAAACCUCUUUCAGUAGGGAAGAAGCGAGAGUGACGGUACCUGCAGAAGAAGCGCCGGCUAACUACGU
rnacentral:rRNA from 1 species